rnacentral:rRNA from 1 species
ACUGGGUAGGGCUUCACACGUCAUACAAUGGUCGGUACAGAGGGUUGCCAACCCGCGAGGGGGAGCUAAUCCCACAAAGCCGAUCGUAGUCCGGAUCGCAGUCUGCAACUCGACUGCGUGAAGUCGGAAUCGCUAGUAAUCGUGGAUCAGCAUGUCCACGGUCGAAUACGUUCCCGGGUCCUU